GGCCCGAUAGGACUAACCGGACCAACGGGAAUGACUGGACCAAGAGGAGACAUGGGAGACCAAGGAGAUACCGGACCAAAUGGAGACAAGGGCGAAAUGGGCUUUCUAGGACCACAGGGAAUAUUUGGAAGAGACGGGCGGAAUGG